rnacentral:rRNA from 1 species
AUUGAACGCUGGCGGCAUGCUUUACACAUGCAAGUCGAGCGGUAACAGGCCUUCGGGUGCUGACGAGUGGCGCACGGGUGCGUAAUGCAUCGGAACGUACCCAGAGGUGGGGGAUAACGCAGCGAAAGCUGUGCUAAUACCGCAUGUGAUCUGAGGAUGAAAGCGGGGGACCGAGCAGCAAUGUUUGGCCUCGCGCCUUUGGAGCGGCCGAUGUCGGAUUAGCUAGUUGGUGGGGUAAAGGCCUACCAAGGCGACGAUCCGUAGCUGGUCUGAGAGGACGACCAGGCCAACUGGGAAUGAGACACGGCCCAGACUCCUAAGGGAGGCAGCAGUGGGGAAUUUUGGACAAUGGGCGCAAGCCUGAUCCAGCAAUGCCGCGUGCGGGAAGAAGGCCUUCGGGUUGUAAAACGGUUUUGGGAGGAAAGAAAAGGUGUCCGCUAAUACCGGGCGCUAAUGACGGUACCUGCAGAAUAAGCACCGGCUAACUACGUG